CUGAGUAGCAGUCUUGAGGACUGUAACAUCAGGAAAGAUGUUGUUAAUAGGAAAUAAAACACUCCAUGUUCCUCGGGAAUGAAGGGUCCUUGGACAUAUGCUUGAGGGGAAGCAGUGGCUGGAAAAGACUUCUAUGGUGGCUCUUCUACUCAUGUCUUUAUAUUUUGCUGUUAGACUAUCCGUGAAAUUCAAUGCAUUAAAAAAUUAGGUCUUAGCAUCUUUUGAAUUCCAGAAAAGAUUUCCAGAAAAAUUAUUUCCAGAAAGAUUUAGUUACUUUUCUCUCCUUGCUGAGACAAAUACCUGACACCCAAAGGGGAAGGGUUUUAUUUGGCUUACAGUUUGUAAUUGUUUCAGUCCAGAGUUGGCUGGCUGCAAGACAGGAAUGACAGUUACCGUAGAAGAGAAACAACAUGGCGAGCACAAGGCAGCAAAGAUGAAAGGAAGCUCUAGAAGAGCUAUGGACUACAAAGAUGGAGCAGAGGAGAUCUUGAUUGCUGAGAAGGAACAGGAGAAUAGAAAAGAUAGCCUGAGGACAUCACAAGAAGCAGCAGAAUUCCACCUUUGCAACCAAGGGGCUUGAAGCUAAGAAUUUGCUUUAAAUCUCAGAGGAGACUGGACUUGGACUUUUCAGCAGCUGAAACUGUUAAGACUUUGGCAACUUUUAGAGAGGAACUAAAUGCCUUUUGCUUAAAGGAAUGUACACGAUUCUUUAGAGGGCCAGGAACAGAAUGUUACAGUUUAGGUCUAG
rnacentral:lncRNA from 1 species